AACUCUGAUGCAGCGAUGCCGCGUGAGUGAAGAAGGCCUUUGGGUUGUAAAGCUUCUUUUCGUCGGGGAAGAAAAUGACUGUACCCGAAUAAGAAGGUCCGGCUAACUUCGUGCCAGCAGCCGCGGUAA
rnacentral:rRNA from 1 species